UACGGAGGAUGCGAGCGUUAUCCGGAUUUAUUGGGUUUAAAGGGUGCGUAGGCGGACGCUUAAGUCAGCGGUAAAAUUGCGGGGCUCAACCUCGUCGAGCCGUUGAAACUGGGUGCCUUGAGUGGGCGAGAAGUAUGCGGAAUGCGUGGUGUAGCGGUGAAAUGCUUAGAUAUAACUUAGAACUCCGAUAGCGAAGGCAGCUUACCAGACUGCGACUGACGCUCAGGCACGAAAGUGUGAGUAUCGAACAGG
rnacentral:rRNA from 1 species